rnacentral:misc_RNA from 1 species
CCCAGCUUCAUGUUGAAUAACCCUGUUGUGGUACUUCUGACUAAAUGUGUGACCAACUGUAUCAAGAACCAAGUUCCCAACUCCUCCGUUAAAAGAGACCGCGUCUAAUGUCCAUAAAAACAACAAUCCCAGAGAAAAAUAAAAUAGCUGUUGUGGGCUAAACCUAAAAGCAUUCCAAGCAGCAAUCCCACCAAAAGCAGCAGCAAUUUGCAGGUUUCUUUCAAUAGAACCGAUUGUUGCAUCCACAGGGGACAAAAGAGAAGCUGUUUCUAUUCCAUUCAGCUUCAGUUCAUCCAAUGAGUAAAGCCUUUGGGGUACCUGCCUUGC